rnacentral:rRNA from 1 species
UACGAAGGGGGCUAGCGUUGCUCGGAAUCACUGGGCGUAAAGCGCACGUAGGCGGCUUGUUAAGUCAGGGGUGAAAUCCUGGAGCUCAACUCCAGAACUGCCUUUGAUACUGGCGAGCUUGAGUCCGGGAGAGGUGAGUGGAACUGCGAGUGUAGAGGUGAAAUUCGUAGAUAUUCGCAAGAACACCAGUGGCGAAGGCGGCUCACUGGUCCGGUACUGACGCUGAGGUGCGAAAGCGUGGGGAGCAAACAGGG